GCCGAAGUGGCGGAAUUGGCAGACGCGCAUGGUUGAGGGCCAUGUGUCCUUCGGGACGUGCGAGUUCGAGUCUCGCCUUCGGCACCA
rnacentral:tRNA from 1 species